AACGAACGCUGGCGGCAUGCCUAACACAUGCAAGUCGAACGAGACCUUCGGGUCUAGUGGCGCACGGGUGCGUAACGCGUGGGAACCUGCCCUUAGGUUCGGAAUAACUCCCCGAAAGGGGUGCUAAUACCGGAUAAUGUCUUCGGACCAAAGAUUUAUCGCCUUUGGAUGGGCCCGCGUUGGAUUAGCUAGUUGGUAGGGUAAAAGCCUACCAAGGCGACGAUCCAUAGCUGGUCUGAGAGGAUGAUCAGCCACACUGGGACUGAGACACGGCCCAGACUCCUACGGGAGGGAGCAGUGGGGAAUAUUGGACAAUGGGCGAAGGCCUGAUCCAGCAAUGCCGCGUGAGUGAUGAAGGCCUUAGGGUUGUAAAGCUCUUUUACCCGGGAUGAUAAUGACAGUACCGGGAGAAUAAGCUCCGGCUAACUCCGUG
rnacentral:rRNA from 1 species